CCUACGGGUGGCUGCAGUGAGGAAUAUUGGUCAAUGGACGCGAGCCUGAACCAGCCAUGCAGCGUGAAGGAUGACUGCCCUAUGGGUUGUAAACUUCUUUUAUAAAGGAAUAAAGUGAGGUACGCGUGCCUUUCUGUAUGUACCUUAUGAAUAAGGAUCGGCUAACUCCGUGCCAGCAGCCGCGGUAAUACGGAGGAUCCGAGCGUUAUCCGGAUUUAUUGGGUUUAAAGGGUGCGUAGGCGGGUGGUUAAGUCAGAGGUGAAAGUUUGAGGCUCAACCGUGGAAUUGCAAUUGAUACUGGUAGGCUUGAGUGCAGUUGAGGUAGGCGGAAUGCGUGGUGUAGCGGUGAAAUGCUUAGAGAUCACAAAGAACUCCGAUUGCGAAGGCAGCUUACUAAGCUGCCACUGACAUUGAGGCACGAAAGUGUGGGGAUCAAACAGGAUUAGAUACCCUUGUAGUC
rnacentral:rRNA from 1 species